rnacentral:piRNA from 1 species
UUAGUUCACAGACUCGGGUGUCCAUGUGGCUU